rnacentral:rRNA from 1 species
GUUUGACUGGGGCGGUCUCCUCCCAAAGAGUAACGGAGGAGCACGAAGGUUAGCUAAUCACGGUCGGACAUCGUGAGGUUAGUGCAAAGGCAUAAGCUAGCUUGACUGCGAGAGUGACGGCUCGAGCAGGUACGAAAGUAGGUCUUAGUGAUCCGGUGGUUCUGAAUGGAAGGGCCAUCGCUCAACGGAUAAAAGGUACUCCGGGGAUAACAGGCUGAUACCGCCCAAGAGUUCAUAUCGACGGCGGUGUUUGGCACCUCGAUGUCGGCUCAUCACAUCCUGGGGCUGAAGUAGGUCCCAAGGGUAUGGCUGUUCGCCAUUUAAAGUGGUACGCGAGCUGGGUUUAGAACGUCGUGAGACAGUUCGGUCCCUAUCUGCCGUGGGCGUUGGAAGAUUGAGAGGGGCUGCUCCUAGUACGAGAGGACCGGAGUGGACGAAUCACUGGUGUUCGGG